ACACACACACACACAAAACGAUCAUAAGGAAGCUGCAACAUGGGCUGAAAAUAAUAAUUAAAUAAAAAUAAUAAAAAACAAUCACUGUAGCAGCAAGCUGUUCUUUGGAGGGGGGGAUAAAAAAAAAAAAAUGAGGCUGCUAUGUAAGAUGAAUUCCAAGCAGCAGCAUAGCAGGGUGGGGGGAAGCUCCCUCCCACUGCCUGGGAAAGGUCACUUCUGCCCUAAGCAGCAGAUCGGAGCUGGGGCACAGUGCAUGCAAGUGAGCCCAGCCUCAUCCAUCUCCAUCAGGAGACAUCUCUGCUUUUAAUUUAUUUAGCAAAGGGGGAGGAAACGGAGUGUGUGUGUGCGUGGGGGGGGGGGGGAAGGAAAAAAAACAACUUGCAAACACCUCCCAGCACCCUCUGCAAGGAUGGGGAAAUGUAGCGAGGGGGAGAGGCUUGGAAAGCGUCCUGAACCAAAGAGAGAGGGAGGGGGGAAGAGAAAGAGAGAGAGGGAGGUGGUGCAUCCUCCGCAUCCUCCUCCUCCUCCACGCCUGCCCGGCUGCGGCAAAGCUCCGCAGUAGGUGCUCCCCUCCCCCGUGCAUUUCCUUUGCUGUAGAAACUUCUGGAAUCAGCAGCCGAGCUGGGGAGAGGAAAGCAGAGCAACCCUGCUGCCCGCAGAGGGGGGAGAAAAAAAAAAGCGAGCUGAGCCAUAGAGCAGGCAAUAAAAGGGAGAGGAAUGCACAGCAGCGGGGCACGCACGUCGCUCCGUGCAUCACGUAGGGCAGCCCGCGGGGCUGGAAAUAAAGCACAAAAGCACACAAAUGGUGGUGUGUGCGGCGCUGGAUAGUGGGACAAGGAGCUGAGCCCUCCUCCCGGAGCUGCACUAAGCCCUGCCACUCAGUUCAGCUCAUCCGUCCUCAUUUCGGUGCAAUGAAUUCAGUGCCUGCCCGACUGCACUGGCAGAGUCAGCUGCCUUCUUCUUUUUUUUUUUUUCUUUUUUUUAAAUAAUUAAUAUUGCUUUCCUUUUUGGUUCUGUUUCACUGCUUUAUUUUUUACUUUUUAUUUUUUUAUCCUUUAAUUAAGAAAUCUUUCCCCAACAUCCCAAGGGAAAUCUACACCUCUGUGGAACAAAUAAAGCAUUCAGGCACCAAUCUUCACCACGGACUGAUCAAAUGGGCGGCUGGUCGCAUUUUGCUUGUUUUUACCUUUUUUAACUAUUAUUUUUCGUCUUUUUUUUUUUUCUUUUGGGUGUGUGCGUGUAAUUUUUUUUCCCUCUUGCUCUUAGGACAGUAGAAAGCCAAUGGAGGAAAACAAAGUAUUACCACAUCUGAUCUCACCACAUGUAUGUUUUUAAUUACCAGAACGGUGGCCGUGAGGAGGCAGUUCCUUCCCUCAGUCCUCGGCUGUUUGGGGCUUUUUUAGCGUUGUUUUGCUUUUUUUUUUUUUUUUUUUUUUGUUUUUGUUUUUUUAAUUGGGCAUUUUCCACGCGGUGAGGACAGCGAUUGCAACCCCUGCGGAGGAGAGAAGUGGAG
ensembl:lncRNA